rnacentral:tRNA from 1 species
GGCUGGUUAGCUCAGUCAGUUGAGUGUGGCACUAACAGCGCUAAGGUCACAGGUUCGAUUCCUGUUCAGUCC